rnacentral:tRNA from 1 species
CGGGUGGUAGCGCAGUUUGGCAGCGCGCUGCGUUCGGGACGCAGAGGUCGGGAGUUCAAAUCUCCCCCACCCGA